GGACAAUAUUCAAUUUUUUGCAACUACUCGGUAUUGGCCGAGUGUCUGAUCAGAAUUUGGCCGAGUACCGAGUACUCGGCAAAUUGGCCAAGUAGGCCAAGUACCGAGUAGUUACCGAGUACUCGGUACGUCUCUACUUUUUAUCUUUCUAUAGAACUGGUUUUUCUUUUUACUUCCCUAUUUUUGAAAUUAUUUAGUGAAAUCUUGCACUUUUUAGGGAGAGUAGGUAUAAACUUUUGGAAAUCAAAAGUAAAUUAGUUUUAAUGUUUUCAUCUGGUAUUUCAUUAUAAGUUUAUUAAAAGAUGAUUUUUAUAAAAAUGUGUUGAUUAAAUUGAUUAACCAAACUUUUGUUUCCAAUCAAUACAAAAAAGUGAGCUCAAAAAUUAAAUUAAAAAGUAGACUCUUUAUUUUAAAUUUCAUAUUUAUCUCCAUAUCUUUUGUGGAAAAUCCUAUAAUUUAUCCAUACCCUUUGCUGUGAUCGCUGUUCCCUGAAUUUAAAAAAUAAAAGAUGCAGAAGAAAAAAGGCAUUUCAAAGCAAUUUUGUUUUUAUGCACCUCAUUAUUACAUUCAUUAUAUAUAUAAUGAAUCUCUUAUUUCUCUAGUCUAAUUUAACUAAAUGAAAGGUAAAUUAGAAAUUACUUCAACAAUUUGUCUAUAAAAUGUUGUAAUUUUAUAAAAUAAAAUUUCUGGUGCCAAAAAAAAAGCUUGUGUAUUAAAAGAUUUACUUUGUAUGUGACACAGUAUAAAAUUGCUACCUAAAUUGUAUUAUAAGUCUCUUACAUAAGAAUCAAAAUUCAUUUUACACAUGGUUUUUAAAAUUUUAACUAAAAGAUUUUGGUAAAGAAAUUAAAUGUUUUACAAUCAAAAAGAAAAUAUGCAAAUCAAAAUAUGGGAGCAUUUUGGUGAAAAUAAAAUUCAUGAGAGAAAUGAAGAAUUUUAUUGAAUUGAUGCUUUUGACUGUGACAUAGUUGUAUUAUGUUCUUGUGAAUAAAUGUUGAUGCAGAAAAUCGCUGUGUUGUAAGGGCAGUGAACUUCAUAGAACUGUGUGUACAUAAAUGUUAAUAAUUUAAACUUUAUAUCUAAUAUUUGUAUUUCUGCAAUGUAGUUUACGAGAUGAAGCUAAAGUUCUAGUUGUAAAAAUCUAAAUUCAUUUGCAAUAAAUGUAUUUUUGUAUCUCGUA